CAGUAGCCGCGGUAAUACGAGGGGGGCAAGCGUUGUUCGGAUUUAUUGGGCGUAAGGGGUGCGUAGGCGGUUUGGCAAGUCUUGUGUGAAAUCUUCGGGCUCAACCCGAAGCCUGCACGAGAAACUACCGGGCUUGAGUAUUGGAGAGGUGAGUGGAAUUUCCGGUGUAGCGGUGAAAUGCGUAGAUAUCGGAAGGAACACCUGUGGCGAAAGCGGCUCACUGGACAAUAACUGACGCUGAUGCACGAAAGCUAGGGGAGCAAACAGGAUUAGAUACCCCAGUAGUCCCUGUCUCUUAUAA
rnacentral:rRNA from 1 species